GAUGAACGCUGGCGGCGUGCCUAAUACAUGCAAGUCGAGCGAACGGACGAGGAGCUUGCUCCUCUGACGUUAGCGGCGGACGGGUGAGUAACACGUGGAUAACCUACCUAUAAGACUGGGAUAACUUCGGGAAACCGGAGCUAAUACCGGAUGAUAUUUUGAACCGCAUGGUUCAAUAGUGAAAGACGGUUUUGCUGUCACUUAUAGAUGGAUCCGCGCCGCAUUAGCUAGUUGGUAAGGUAACGGCUUACCAAGGCAACGAUGCGUAGCCGACCUGAGAGGGUGAUCGGCCACACUGGAACUGAGACACGGUCCAGACUCCUACGGGAGGCAGCAGUAGGGAAUCUUCCGCAAUGGGCGAAAGCCUGACGGAGCAACGCCGCGUGAGUGAUGAAGGUCUUCGGAUCGUAAAACUCUGUUAUUAGGGAAGAACAAAUGUGUAAGUAACUGUGCACAUCUUGACGGUACCUAAUCAGAAAGCCACGGCUAACUACGUG
rnacentral:rRNA from 1 species